rnacentral:rRNA from 1 species
UACAGAGGUCCCAAGCGUUGUUCGGAUUCAUUGGGCGUAAAGGGUGUGUAGGUGGCGCCGUAAGUCGGGUGUGAAAUUUCGGAGCUUAACUCCGAAACUGCAUUCGAUACUGCGGUGCUUGAGGACUGGAGAGGAGACUGGAAUUCAUGGUGUAGCAGUGAAAUGCGUAGAUAUCAGGAGGAAUACCGGUGGCGAAAGCGACUCUCUGGACGGCAACUGACGCUGAGGCACGAAAGCGUGGGGAGCAAACAGG